rnacentral:rRNA from 1 species
AGAGUUUGAUCAUGGCUCAGAUUGAACGCUGGCGGCAGGCCUAACACAUGCAAGUCGAACGGUAACAGAACUAGCUUGCUAGUUGCUGACGAGUGGCGGACGGGUGAGUAAUACUUAGGGAUCUGCCUCUGUGUGGGGGAUAACUAUUGGAAACGAUAGCUAAUACCGCAUAACGUCUACGGACCAAAGAGGGCUUCGGCUCUCGCGCAGAGAGGAACCUAAGCGAGAUUAGCUUGUUGGUGAGGUAAAGGCUCACCAAGGCGACGAUCUCUAGCUGUUCUGAGAGGAAGAUCAGCCACACUGGAACUGAGACACGGUCCAGACUCCUACGGGAGGCAGCAGUGGGGAAUAUUGCACAAUGGGGGCAACCCUGAUGCAGCCAUGCCGCGUGUGUGAAGAAGGCCUUCGGGUUGUAAAGCACUUUCAGUUGUGAGGAAAGGUUAGUAGUUAAUACCUGCUAGCUGUGACGUUAACAACAGAAGAAGCACCGGCUAACUCCGUGCCAGCAGCCGCGGUAAUACGGAGGGUGCGAGCGUUAAUCGGAAUUACUGGGCGUAAAGCGCACGCAGGCGGUCUGUUAAGCUAGAUGUGAAAGCCCCGCGCUCAACGUGGGAGGGUCAUUUAGAACUGGCAGACUAGAGUCUUGGAGAGGGGAGUGGAAUUCCAGGUGUAGCGGUGAAAUGCGUAGAGAUCUGGAGGAACAUCAAUGGCGAAGGCAACUCCCUGGCCAAAGACUGACGCUCAUGUGCGAAAGUGUGGGUAGCGAACAGGAUUAGAUACCCUGGUAGUCCACACCGUAAACGCUGUCUACUAGCUGUUUGUGGAUUUAAUCCGUGAGUAGCGAAGCUAACGCGAUAAGUAGACCGCCUGGGGAGUACGGCCGCAAGGUUAAAAC